UACAGAGGUCCCAAGCGUUGUUCGGAUUCACUGGGCGUAAAGGGUGCGUAGGUGGCUUGGUAAGUUUGAUGUGAAAUCUCCGGGCUUAACUCGGAAAGGUCAACUGAUACUGUGCGACUAGAGUGCAGAAGGGGCAACUGGAAUUCUCGGUGUAGCGGUGAAAUGCGUAGAUAUCGAGAGGAACACCUGCGGCGAAGGCGGGUUGCUGGGCUGACACUGACGCUGAUGCGCGAAAGCCAGGGGAGCGAACGGG
rnacentral:rRNA from 1 species